GCGGCUCUGCUGGCCCACCCCGGCCGGGCCUGCCCUCCCGCGCCCCGGGCCCUCGCCCGGGCGCCCGCCUUCCCCUCGCCUUCGGGAUCACCUGUGGCCGCCGGUCGCUUUUCUGCACGCAGCGCCCCGCGGAACGCGCCUCUGACCACUUUCUCCCCCGACUCGGUGGGGCAAGAGGCUCGCAACCCGACGCCACUCUCCCGCUGGCUCGCCGGAGCACUCGGGGGCGAUAAAUGCGCCAGCUUGUUGGUGGAAAAGACAGGUUUGGUCUGGGGAGCUACGGUCACCCGCAUUUCCUAGAGCGCCCCAGCUCUAAUCGGAAGGUACGGCCCCCUUCUGGGCCGUGGAGAACGAAGCCACUGGGACCGUCCGGGGAGUGGAGUAAGCUCCUCCGAAGUCUUUCUGGAGAGACUCGGCCUGGGCGGGGGAACUCCGCCCACCCAACCCUUGGCAACCCUUGGAUAUUGGCAGUUAUACCAAUAACCAAGGUCCUGGUCUACACCUGUCCCCCCCAACCCCCUUCCCCGCGUCCAAGACCACUGAUACCUGCAAGGAAAGCCGGAAAUUGUAUGUGAAUCACCUAAAUGAACUCCAGUUGCCAGCUGAUUUGAGCCGCUAAAUUCCCAGGCUCUUCCAUAUCUCUCCAGAGAACCCAUCUACAAGGUGGAAAACCAUCGGAGACUGCAUCCUCCUAAGUAUGUUCUUCCCUACUCAAUGCAAGUGAACCCAGAUAUACAACUCGGAUGAUUCACAAUGCUACUUUAAAACAGUAUCCUGCUUUAGAAAACAAUGUUUUCAAAAGAACCAAAUCUAUUAGCUCUAGCGUGCCUGUGAGACAUCUGACUCCAAGGUGAAUAAUCUGACAUCACUAGUAAUCAGUAUUUAUUUCCAGAUCAUUUCAAAUGAAAUCAG
rnacentral:lncRNA from 1 species